GGAGAGGUGGCCGAGUGGCUGAAGGCGACGGUUUGCUAAACCGUUAUAGGUGGUAACAUCUAUCGUGGGUUCGAAUCCCAUCCUCUCCGCCA
rnacentral:tRNA from 3 species